ACCUCGGAUCAGGUAGAAUUACCCGCUGAACUUAAGCAUAUCAAUAAGCGGAGGA
rnacentral:rRNA from 1 species